ACCAAAUUGGCCACCGAAGAAGCGAGGACAAAAUCUGUCUAGUGUUUUGAGUGGCCUCCGGAAGCAAAACAAGUUAGCAGCAGCUGUUUUUUCCUCCUUUCUGUGGGUGACGGCCUAACAACCUCCGGAAGGCGUUUUUUCGGCAGUCCAACUCCCGGAUGUGCAACCUGCGCUUGAAUUAGCUGUCAAAAGGUUUGUUUUCAUUGAUUUUGUCUUUCGCGUUCAGAUUUGUUGUGAAAGUUCAAUCAAAACCAUGCAAAUGGCAAAGUGUUAACAAAGAGUCUGUCCUGCUCACGUUAGUUGAUUAGUUAUUAUAUUAUGAACGAGCAGGAUAGAUUCUUUGUUUACACUUCGACAUUGUGCCAUUUACAUUGUUUUGCGUAAAAAAGGUCCACAUAUUUGCAAUAGCCGUUAACAGUGAAAACUGGUCGGAUUUAGACGUGCGCCAGGAGAACAAAUCAAGCAAAACAAUGUAAAUGGGCAAAAGCCAAAGUGUAAACAAAGAGUCUGUCCUGCUCGUUCCUAACGUAAACAUCCAUUGAAUUAAGCAGGACAGACUGUUUGUUUACACUUUGGCUUUGGCCCAUUUACAUUAUUUUGCCUGAAAUAUAAGCAAAUCACCUGCUGGAGGGUUAAGUUUUGGCUGACGCACGAAGUGAUUUGUUUACCUUUUUUUGGUACCCUCCGCAAACGUCAAAGCAUACAAAAUUGCUGCCAGAUCUUUUCCGGGAGAGAUCCGGAAAAGUUCCGGCAGCAAUUUGUAUUGAUAUGACGUUUGCUGAGGGUGCCCAAAAGUUUAGUUACGUUCAGCCUGCAAAUCACUGAUUCUGACGGAAUAAAGUGAUUAUUUAUCACCCCUUGGGAUUUCUUCUCAAACUUUUAUCGUUCUCUUUUUCCAGGUAAAAGUAAAAGACGCUUACACAAAAAAUGUUUUUUCAAAACGGCUGAGUCGAUUCAAGCUGCUUUUCUGUCAGCUGAAAAAAUAGUCUUGCCAACCCUACCUUCCCGAAGAAAGGAGCGGAGGAGGAAGUUGAUUCGCCGAAGUCGGAACGUGAGCUGCAAAACCGGCGGAGAUUGUGUCGUUCCCAUAGGCUAGGUUGGUGAGUUGAUUGGUGAACUCGAUUCCGUGCAAGCACACAUCAGCGGCUUCUUGCUUAAGAAGCUUCUAACAUUCCAGAUCGAUCAAUUGUUUUCAAGGGCAUGGAUAGCAACAUCAUCAAGAAGAUUCAACUAACCACGUGCCGUUGAUCAUAAAAAACAUUCUGUGCUGAAGAAUAUCACCAGCAAAACCACCUUCAGAUAAGUGCUUGAUUUUUUUCUACAAAAGAAUUAGACACUUUGUGAUAAUUUCCAACAUUUUAGGUAGAAACUCAACUUGGACCAAAAGCAACAGAAAAGGCAGCCCUAGUUGAAAAAAAAGAAAGAUGUGUGCGUCAGUAAAUCAAAAGCGAUCUCGGGGUUGGAGUGAACUAAGAGAGCCAGGAUCAGCAAAUCUUCAGACAAAGAUUGACUCCAAAGAAUUCGACCGUAUUAAAAUUUCCGGUUGAACUCAAGAACAACAAGAUCACCAGAUGAACUCUCGGUUAUCCGACGUUGCACGACUGCGCCGUUUUCCUUCAGAACAAUCUUCAGAACCGGCUGCUGAAGUAACCUCUGGGACCCCUCCAUCCGACCAACAAUUUCCAAAGAAUGACGGAGAUGGAGCUGAUCGUGGUGUACAGCUUUGGUCAACUCUACCACAGCGGAUACCUCCCUGAACUGUGUUUUUUCUUCUGUUUAGUUUAUUCUAAAAAUUUUUUUGUGUUAUUUUCUCUUCAGUUUAAUUUGUUGCCAAUUUAGAAUCCCGCAAACUCUCCAUCAUGUUUGAAUUUAAAAUCCAUAUAUCAUUAGGACAAUUCAGACAAAAAUAUAAUAUAUAUAUAUCAAAUAAAAUGAAAAAAUAAAUAAGCUAUUUGACCAAAGCAAAAUUAAUGUUUUCUAGCUCAAAAUUCCGAAAAUCCUUGAAAAAUUGAUGUUCAUUCGAAUUGUUACAACUGUUCCCCAAAAUGUAAUGCUCCAUGAAAAAUCACUGAAAUAACUAUUUAAAACCAUAAAAAUACCAUUUGAGAAAUGGUGAAAUCCCUAAAAUAUAUACGCAAAAAUGAACUUUCAAAAAGCACUUGACAAAGUGUCGCUAGAAGAAAAAAUCAAAUAGUGAAUAUUGCUAACAACAUAUAUGGGGAAUAGUUCACUAUUUGAGAGACAGUGAGGAAUUAAAAAAAAUAUUUACCAAAUAGUUGCUAUACAAUUUGGUAAAAGGUUGAUUGAAUAUUUAACAAAUGAUUUUCAAACGGUUUUUUUCUAUGCGGG